CAAGGGCUUGGUCCUGACUUUACUAUCAACUUUAGACAAAUUUACACAUGCAAGUAUCCGCACUCCUGUGAGAAUGCCCUACAGUCCCCCGUCCGGGAACAAGGAACUGGUAUCAGGCACAUUCAUCGAGCCCAUGACACCUUGCUUAGCCACACCCUCAAGGGAACUCAGCAGUGAUAAACAUUAAGCUAUAAGUGAAAACUUGACUUAAUUAAAGCUAAGAGGGCCGGUAAAACUCGUGCCAGCCACCGCGGUUAUACGAGAGGCCCAAGUUGACAGACACCGGCGUAAAGAGUGGUUAAGCUUAAACUUAAACUAAAGCCAAACACCUUCAAGACUGUUAUACGUACCCGAAGGCAGGAGACUCAACCACGAAAGUAACUUUAUUUAAUCUGACCCCACGAAAGCUACGGCACAAACUGGGAUUAGAUACCCCACUAUGCCUAGCCCUAAACAUUGACAGUAUUCUACACACACUGUCCGCCAGGGAACUACGAGCAGCAGCUUAAAACCCAAAGGACUUGGCGGUGCUUUAGACCCCCCUAGAGGAGCCUGUUCUAGAACCGAUAGCCCCCGUUCAACCUCACCCUUCCUUGUUUUCCCCGCCUAUAUACCGCCGUCGUCAGCUUACCCUAUGAAGGACAAAUAGUAAGCAAAAUUGGUACAGCCUUAAACGUCAGGUCGAGGUGUAGCGUAUGGAGGGGGAAGAAAUGGGCUACAUUCGCUACCAUAGCGAAUACGAAAGACGCACUGAAACGCCCGUCUGAGGAGGAUUUAGCAGUAAGCAGGAAAUAGAGCGUCCCACUGAAACUGGCCCUGAAGCGCGCACACACCGCCCGUCACUCUCCCCAAAACCACAAUCCUGUUAAUUAAAACCUAAUAACCAACAAGGGGAGGCAAGUCGUAACAUGGUAAGUGUACCGGAAGGUGCACUUGGCACAAU
rnacentral:ncRNA from 1 species